rnacentral:tRNA from 1 species
GGAGGCGUCGCCUAGUUCGGUCUAUGGCGCCCGCCUGCUAAGCGGGUUGAGGGUUCGUCCCCUCUCGUGGGUUCAAAUCCCACCGCCUCCGCCA